GACCUCAAAUCAGGUAGGGCUACCCGCUGAACUUAAGCAUAUCAAUAAGCGGAGGAAAAGAAACUAACAAGGAUUCCCCUAGUAGCGGCGAGCGAACCGGGACGAGCUCAAAUUUGAAAUCUGGCGCCCUCCGGGCGUCCGAGUUGUAAUCUACAGAAGCGUCUUCCGCGCCGGACCGUGUCCAAGUCCCUUGGAACAGGGUAUCAAAGAGGGUGACAAUCCCGUGCUUGACACGACGACCGGUGCUCUGUGAUGCGCUCUCCACGAGUCGAGUUGUUUGGGAAUGCAGCUCAAAACGGGUGGUAAAUUCCAUCUAAAGCUAAAUAUUGGCAAGAGACCGAUAGCGAACAAGUACCGUGAGGGAAAGAUGAAAAGCACUUUGGAAAGAGAGUUAAACAGUAUGUGAAAUUGUUGAAAGGG
rnacentral:rRNA from 1 species